rnacentral:rRNA from 1 species
AACGAACGCUGGCGGCAGGCUUAACACAUGCAAGUCGAGCGCCCCGCAAGGGGAGCGGCAGACGGGUGAGUAACGCGUGGGAAUCUACCCGUCUCUACGGAAUAACGCAUGGAAACGUGUGCUAAUACCGUAUACGUCCUUCGGGAGAAAGAUUUAUCGGAGAUGGAUGAGCCCGCGUUGGAUUAGCUAGUUGGUGGGGUAAAGGCCUACCAAGGCGACGAUCCAUAGCUGGUCUGAGAGGAUGAUCAGCCACACUGGGACUGAGACACGGCCCAGACUACUACGGGAGGCAGCAGUGGGGAAUAUUGGACAAUGGGCGCAAACCUGAUCCAGCCAUGCCGCGUGAGUGAUGAAGGCCCUAGGGUUGUAAAGCUCUUUCACCGGUGAAGGUAAUGACGGUAACCGGAGAAGAAGCCCCGGCUAACUUCGUGCCAGCCGCCGCCGUAACAC